UACAGAGACCUCAAGCGUUAUCCGGAAUCAUUGGGCGUAAAGAGCGUGUAGGCGGCCAGACAGGUCCGUUGUGAAAACUAGAGGCUUAACCUCUAGACGUCGAUGGAAACCGUCUGGCUAGAGUCCGGAAGAGGAGAAUGGAAUUCCUGGUGUAGCGGUGAAAUGCGCAGAUAUCAGGAAGAACACCCGUGGCUAAGGCGGUUCUCUAGUACGGUACUGACGCUGAGACGCGAAAGCGUGGGGAGCGAACAGG
rnacentral:rRNA from 1 species